UGAUAAGAGAGAUCGACAGACGUUUGGAUUUUCUGAUUCGUCGACGCGUGCAUUUACAAGGAACGGCUGUGAAUCAUUCUUGCAUUAACAAUUAUUUGGUGUUCUCCAGGGGAAUGUUGGUGGUUUGGGGAGACAGAUUUCGUCGGAAUGAAUGGGUUUUCUAAUUCGGAAUGAAACCCGUCUCCAGCCGGUCUCUUCUACCACCAGCUUGGAGUACGUCUGUGUGCUUCUGAACGAUCAUAAAUCUCCGACGAGAAUAAAAAAAAUCAUGAUAAAAAAACUGGUGAAGUUGAAGUUUGAAGUCAGGGGAUGGUUAGAACCCAAGAAGCAUAAAGAGAAUGAAAUGAAAUGGUUGUGCAGCCGUCAUUGGUGGUUGUCAGACGUCUUCCAAAGGGGAAAAGGAGAGGUGGUGAACAAAUCCUGGGAUUCCAUUCUGUUUUCUCUCCGGGUGUUUCGCAGUAACGCUUAAAAUCAAACGAAUCAGAAUUUUACCUGGAAAGCGGAUGGAAACCAUUGGCCGAUACCUAAGACCUCCAAGGACGACACUGAUGAAUCUCCGGGAUCUAUUUUAGGGAUUUUUAGUGGUCGAGAAACGUGUUUGAACGGUUACUUCGGGAAAAGAGGCGGUACUCGAGAUUUUUUGCCAUUGGCCCAUUGCCUUUCCUCGCUUACAAUUUUCUCAGAUAUCACAUUGAGAUAAUUGCCAUUUUGCUCCAUUAAAAAUCUGUCCAGAAAUUUAUAAAUAUAUACCGAUCAUCGUGGAGUUAAUAUUUCCAGUUAAUAAAAUUUGCAAUGAAUUCAGUGUUCGGAAAAUUUAGAGAUCUCGUUGAUAUAAUCAAUAAAUUUAUUAUAAAGUUCACACGAUUUCUUGUCUGGAAAUUGGCACUACAGUGCCCACAUGUGUGCCAACUUCAAAACAUGAGAAACUCUAGAUAAAAACGUAAUCCGGGCCGUUGCGAUGGGGUUUUUUCACUCGUGCGGUUGAUAAAUCCUCUCCUCCGGUUGGGGCACCAAUCCCCGACUAAAAACCCCAUGGCACCUCCCGGAAAUGUUGAAUUUUCUUCGAGUGCUCCAAGUUGGCCCUCGAAAAAAAGCCGACGAAGAGAAAACCGAUAAAUAAAUAAAAAAGGUUAUUGCAGUAAUUGUUAUUACGAAAGAGGGUAACUGGAGCAACUAGAAAAUGGGUUAUGUGGGGGAGGUCGAGUCAAGUGGGUGGAGUGGGUGGUGAUGGCGAGGGGGAGGUAUGAUAACCCCCUGAUUUGAGCGCACUCUCUGGGUGGAAGUUAUCGAUUACCGGACGAGGCCACCACAGGGUGAAACUGGGUCGAAAUGACUCAGGAGAGGGGUUUAUGUCGCAAAGGGAGUGUGAGGGGUAAGGAAUAUGUACAACCCCUCGAUCCCUCUUCCUUCUGCCCAUUCCACCCCUACCAUCCCAUCCACCCCUACCAUCCCAUCCACCCCUACCACCCCUUCCUCCUUUUCCUUCCGUUUCUCCCCUGCGUCCCCUGCGACCCCAGCAACCCCUGCCUCCCCUUCACAACCGCUCACCCCUUCUCCCACUCCCACUCCUGAUAUGCGCAUGGAAAUCAGCGCAGGGGAUUCACAUAAAGAGAGUGAGAGAGAGAAGGGGGCGAGGGGGAGUACGAGGAGGAGAAAGAGAGAGAGGGGUUGGUACACGUUUGCGUUCGCAUUUCAGUGUAGGAUCCUUGACAUAAAUAAUCAGUAGUAGAGAAUCGCGCGGCCCCGGUAGCCAUGGCGACGACAUCGAUCGACGGGCCACGAUGUGGCCCGUGUCACUAUAUCAAAUAUAUAAAAAGAUAUUCGUAAAAACUACUGUGUUCUCCCCGUUUCCUCCUGAUUCUCGGCCAUUUCCGGUCAGACAAAGUCCCCAUUAUUUUUGUACACAUUUUCUGCUGCCUCUUUUUUUGUAUUAUGAAACAUUUUUUUUGAUCCCGGAAGUUACUACAUCUGACCACCUCACAUCGGCUCGUCAUUAUGUCAAAUAUAAAUAUGUAUAAAUGUGUUACUAUGUCGAAUGCAUGAAAAGAUGUUGGAAAAAAAUAUACAAUGCGUUUUUCACGUUU